CGCGUAGGCGGGUUGGCAAGUCUGCUGUGAAAGCCCGGUGCUUAACGCCGGAGGGUCGGUGGAUACUGCCAGUCUUGAAGGUGCUAGGGAGAGAUGGAAUUACCAGUGUAGCGGUGAAAUGCGUAGAUAUUGGUAGGAACACCAGUGGCGAAGGCGGUCUCUUGGAGCACUCUUGACGCUGAGGCGCGAAAGCUGGGGGAGCGAACGGGAUUAGAUACCCCGGUAGUCCCAGCCCUAAACGAUGGAUACUAGGUGUCGCGGGUAUGACCCCUGCGGUGCCGCCGCUAACGCAUUAAGUAUCCCGCCUGGGGAGUACGGCCGCAAGGUUGAA
rnacentral:rRNA from 1 species